GCGGGAGUAGCUCAGUGGUAGAGCGUCAGCCUUCCAAGCUGAGGGUCGCGGGUUCAAAUCCCGUUUCCCGCUCCA
rnacentral:tRNA from 6 species